UACGGAGGGUGCAAGCGUUAUUCGGAAUUACUGGGCGUAAAGCGCGCGUAGGCGGCUUACUAAGUCUGAUGUGAAAGCCCUGGACUCAAUCUAGGAAGUGCAUUGGAUACUGGUAGGCUGGAGUACAGGAGAGGAGAGCGGAAUUCCAGGUGUAGAGGUGAAAUUCGUAGAUAUCUGGAGGAACAACAGAGGCGAAGGCGGCUCUCUGGACUGUAACUGACGCUGAGGCGCGAAAGCGUGGGGAGCAAACAGG
rnacentral:rRNA from 1 species